GUAGUAUUCCCUCCGUCCCAAAAUUCUUGUCUUACAUUUGUUUAGAUACGAAUGUAUCUAACACUAAAAUGUAACUAGAUACAUCCGUAUUUAGACAAAUUUAAGACAAGAAUUUUGGGAUGAGGGAGUACAAA
rnacentral:pre_miRNA from 1 species